rnacentral:rRNA from 1 species
CCUACGGGAGGCAGCAGUAGGGAAUUUUCGUCAAUGGGCGCAAGCCUGAACGAGCAAUGCCGCGUGAACGAGGAAGGUCUUCGGAUCGUAAAGUUCUGUUGAAGGGGAAAAAGAGCGGAGAGAGGAAAUGCUUUCUGAUUGAUAUUACCCUUCGAGGAAGUCACGGCUAACUACGUGCCAGCAGCCGCGGUAAUACGUAGGGGGCGAGCGUUAGCCGGAAUGAUUGGGGGUAAAGGGAGCGUAGGCGGACUGCUAAGUCUGGAGUGAAAGGGACGGGCUCAACCGGUAGAGGCUCUGGAAACUGGCGGGCUUGAGAGCAGGAGAGGGCGGCGGAACUCCAUGUGUAGCGGUAAAAUGCGUAGAUAUAUGGAAGAACACCAGUGGCGAAGGCGGCCGCCUGGCCUGUUACUGACGCUGAGGCACGAAAGCGUGGGGAGCAAAUAGGAUUAGAUACCCCUGUAGUC